UUGUUUUUACUUCAGGAACAAAUAAGACAACAAGCAAAGGAAAAGCGUCAAAACUCCACUCUCUCCAAGAACAGUAAAGUAAAAAGUGCAGUGUGYAGUACGAUGUGACCUUGGCGCAAAUAWUCAAUCAGGAAUCCUUUAUAAAGGGUGGAAUUGGCAGUGGAAAUAAAUAUAUCAUAUUACAUUGAAAAUCAUUAUAUUAUUAUUGAAUUGAACUAUUUUAUUACUGAUCCUUGUAUCAAGACCGCUGRCAGGUGUCCCUACAGGGAUCUCUAUGUAAAUAAUAACAUAUUUUUUAAAUAUUACAUUAGCAACUCAAAAGUUAAAUUUGCASUCUUAUUAUCUACACUCUAUCUGCAAUGAUAGAAAGCUUUGUUCACACUCAUCAACUCUCAACUGUCGUCUCACCUCGAUGCAAUGGCAUGGCCACCUUUCAAGAUGACGCCGGGGACCGUGAAGGAGACUAUUAUAAUUAUCAAAUAUAACUGUAAAUAUAAAUGUCGUCAAUUUGUCCAAGACAAGAUUUAAUAUCAUAGCGUUAGAUUUAAUCUUAUGCCUGAAUAUAUCUAAUAAAGAUGAAUAGUUACUGCA